CAUAUUCAUGAUAUGAAAAAAGUGGUAGUUGACAAAAAAAAAAAAAAAAAGAUAUGAAAAAAGUGGUAAACAUAAAAAAUUCCUAAACUUAAAUCUAGGCUGUAGCUUUUUAAACCAAGUACAAAACUACUAUAACUUUGUAUUGGAUUCUUUUAUUGAUAUUGGUUCUAAAAAGAAAAUAGCUUAGUGGUUGGGAACAAAAUAUAGCAUAUACUUCAUGUACUAUUUUAAGAAAAAUCAUUUUCUCCAUCUCUUAAAUACUCGGAGUCUCGGACCGAUGAAUGAUUUUAAUUAAAGAAAUAAAUAAC
rnacentral:lncRNA from 1 species